rnacentral:tRNA from 1 species
UGUAGCUCAGUGGUAGAGUACUUGCCUCGCACGCAUGAGGCACUGGGUUCGAUCCUCAGCA